rnacentral:lncRNA from 1 species
GUCACAUGUUACUGAUAAGAAGAGGAAGGCUCAGAGAGAACUCUCUUAUACAAGAUCACACAGGGAGUAAAAGAAGGGCACUGACCCAUGUCUGCUUAGCUUUCAUGUGACAGAUACUGUGGGUCCCAGGAAGAAAUCACCAGGAAAAGCUUCCUGGCCUACACUAAGAGGGAGACGUGCCAGAAGUGCUUCAGCAGUUCCAGCAACCUCAAGACUCACCUGUGCCUGCACGUCCAGUGCAGUGUCUGCCCAAAUCACUUCACCCAGCUUGUCCAUUGGAAGCUGCACCAACAGCUCCACACUCCACAACCCGGCGGCCUGGCUCACCCCCACCUGCCCCUGGGCUCUCUUCCCUGCCUUGCCCAAUGGCACCAGCGAGCAUUGGAUCUUGUUGCGGAGCCCUCAGAGAAACAGAUGGGUUGGGACAUGGACAGGGUCAAGGUGUCCUUGGUAUCCCAGGGAAAGCCAGGGCAGCCAGCCUGAGCCAACACUGCUCAGAGGAGAGGGCAAGGGCAGAGCAAUUAAAGGAUUUUCAAAAUGAUGAGUUGAGGCUUCCUGUGCUUCCACAGUGAAGGGGUCACCGUGUAAUUGCCAGACCUCACACUUUACCUGAGAGCAGGUCAGAGGAC